rnacentral:piRNA from 1 species
UAAUUGGAGGUCACACAGAGGGUAGG